AAAGGAGGGAAGACCAUUAAGGUCCAGAAUAUGAUUCCGUCUGAUCUCGGAAGCUAAGCAGGGUCAGGCCUGGUUAGUACUUGGAUGGGAGACCACCUAGAAAGACCAGGUGCUAUAGGUG
rnacentral:rRNA from 1 species